CACAUGCUAGCCCUAGGCUAGCUUCCUGGAGCCCAGUUGCAAGGUUGGGGAUGGAGAGUUCAUUCUCUGAGCAAGCUGCACUCACAGGAUAGCUGUGGUCCCCACAAGGGAAACAAACUAAUCCAAACAAAAGAUGAAAAUAAACUAAGGAGCAACCACUACAAACAUGCUGAACCUGAGAGAGCUGCAGAAUGGACCACAUGAAGCUUCGAAUCCUCUCGCUCCUUGUCAAAAGAGCAAGCAGCGUGUUGGAAAAGUGUCUGAUUAAAGAUACUGGUAAAUGCAUCCCAUUUUUCCAUAUACAAUGUGACCAGCUGCCACAACCUCCUGAUACUGAGGCUUCCUUGCCACGAGGGACUGGCCCCACAGACUGUGAGCAAAGAUGAGAUCCUCCUUCCUUGCUUAGAUUCCUUUUAUCAGAUACGUUAUCAGAGCCUCAAGGCCAGGUACUGAAUCACUUCCAUCACAAGAAGGAUCCCAAUACAAUGGACGGGCUUACACAGUACUAUUUGUUCAUCGGUAUGAUGACUCUGUACAAAAGGCUUCAUCUUGCCCAUCUUAGGGCAUUUUCUUACAUUUUUGGCACUUACAAAAAGCUAAGAAAGCCUGGGUAGUUAUAGCUGGUGGUACAUGGAAGGAUAUGUGAGAGGGUAGAAGAGGAAAUAGCCUGGAAGUUGUCACUAACGGUGAUAUAUGGUCUUAAUGGUUUCCCUAGAGCAAACCAACAGACAGCAUGUGGCUUGUCACCAUGCCUUCCUCGGUGUCUAGUGCUGCCCUGCUGUGUCCACACUGUAGGCUUUGCACCCAGCAGAUUAUGAAGUUGUGCAGAUAGCCUUUAUUUUAUAUUUUUGAGCCUCCUUAUUUCUGAAGAAUGAGCAAUUUUAAAGCUUGAUUUUUGUCAUUUGCUCUAAAUAAAAGGUGGAUAACAACAAUGACCAGCAUCUCAAAAUGCUUUCAACAGGCUGCGUCAGCAUAACAGGAAGGGACAUUGUGAUGGCCAAGCCUGAUUGCCAACUUUACUACGUUAAGAAAUACCCAGGGGCUGGAGGUCUCCACUGUUAAAGACUAAGGCUCAUAAACAAAAAGACAAGAAACACCCAGCCUUUGCUUUUGUCUAUGAGGAAGUUCCAAGAGAGGUUUAACUAGGAUGGGAAGACCCACAUUCAUGGGCUGGGAUUCUGCGUUGAAUAAAAAGGAGAAAGAAAGCUGCUACUAGCAUUCUCUUUACUCUGCUUCCUAGUUGGUGUCACAGACCAAGCUGUUCCUGCCACAAUAGACAACAUUCCUCUUUACCAUGAGCUCAACCCCCCCAAAAUAAAAAGAUUUUGUCAGGCAAAAAAAAAAUCCCCCCCACCCUGGUAUACUUUCUCUCAGUCAUAAUGCUGAGAAAAGUGGCUAAUAUGUCAUUAGGUCCCUAUUUCCCAGGUAGAAAAUGAAGGCCAACAGAGUAAAGCAAUGGCCUCAGUUCAUAAAGCUACUUAGAAGGGAGCCACAGUUUAGAUCCUAAUCCCAGAGCCUCAGAAGUACAGGGGCAGAAACUGGACACAGAGUAAUGGAUGACUGUGAACUGAAGUGACCCAUGGUCAUGAUAACCCCAGUUGGUGUUGACCAAAUUCAUUGAUAGGGAUGAUGGGGAACAUAAUACAAGAACAUAUCCCAGAGUAGAAAUUUGCUCAGCAAAAGUAUCUCGAUGAGUUAGAUGGAUUAGCAAGUUAAACCAUGGCACUCUUGUAGAAUGGGCUGUGGUCAGGAGCUUCUAUCCUCUAAGGAACCUAGACACUUCCCUCUGUGAUUUUAGUGCAAAUCGAGUAUCCCCAUCUGGAACUCCCAGGCUUUCAAUUCUCCAAAAUAUGAAAUGUUUUGUAUGUUGACAUGAUAUCACACUUAGAAAACCCCACAACUAGAUUGAAUAGAAUGGUUUUCACUCUAAACACAGGCAUGCUAAAAUCUCUGUAGUAAACUUAUAUGCAAGGUUAUGUGUAUGGUGUCCUAGGUACUUUGCACAGUGACAGAAAAGUGACCACCAUAGCAACCUACACAGGCUUACCCAGUAGUCAGAGUGCUCAGGCCCACGCUUCAUUACAAAGCCAAUUUUCUUUCUCACACUCCUGAGCUAAGGGCAUUGUUCUCCUGUCCUCAGAGUCAGUGCCAAACCAAAUGCAUCUCUUCUUGCCAGACAGCCCUCUUCCUCCUGUUUCACCACAGCAAUUCUGGGGCACAUUUGAAGAGAAGAGAGCAGUACUGAUUUCCCCACUUCCUGUUUCCUGUCCUCUCUUGGUCCCUUCAGCACAUGGAAUACCUCCUCAUUCCCUUCUCAAGUGAAAGUUGCUGUCUUUUUCUUAACUCAGAACUGCAGGGAUAAUUCCUGGGGGAGCCAUGUGCUUUUUAUUAUUAUGUUGUUUAUUCGUGUGCUUGAAACACAUUUAUGUUGUUAGGCUAUUCGUGGAAUAAAACAUCCAAAUGAAAAAACAAACCAGUGUGUUUGGUAGCCUUCUUAGGGAAACAAAGGGAAGCCUCCUAGAGGGACAUUUAACUGUUCUUGUUUCACUCACUAAUUCUGGAUUUCUGUCUGUCGACCACCACCCACCACUGUGGCUUGAAAUGGAUCCUAGUCUUUCCAUGGUC